GCGUUGUUCGGAAUUACUGGGCGUAAAGGGUCUGUAGGUGGCCAACUAAGUCAGACGUGAAAUCCCUCAGCUUAACUGGGGAACUGCGUCUGAUACUGGAUGGCUUGAGUGUGGGAGAGGAAUGCGGAAUUCCAGGUGUAGCGGUGAAAUGCGUAGAUAUCUGGAGGAACACCGGUGGCGAAGGCGGCAUUCUGGACCAUAACUGACACUGAGAGACGAAAGCCAGGGGAGCAAACGGG
rnacentral:rRNA from 1 species